GGGAAAUUAGUGAGGCACACCGGGGCUUCAUGAGCACGAGACCCCGCAGGCCGCAUCUGUGAACACGCGCUGCUGCUGCUGCGUUAUUGGCCGUCACUCGACGGCGGUUAGCCACAUUAGCCGUUGACCUCAAACUGCACCUGAAAGUGGAGUGUUCCUGUCCCACUGAGGGAGCUUCAGGGACCGCUCCGACUCACCUGUCCAGCAAGAUGCUCCUGAGAGGCUGCCAAGGCUUCACUUCAUACAGAACGCUGUUAAGAGUUGCUCGGGCAUCGCCGAACUCUAUUCCCCUCCUGCUAAGGCAGCUGUUUAGAGGCCCUCAUCAAUAAAAGAGGACUGUAAGGAAAGCAGCAUGAAGAGCACGCCCGCCUCCCUCCCCUCCCGAUCCUGCAAUAACACCCACCGCCAAAUCUGAGACGUGGGGAAGAAGUGACACCCAACGCUGGCCCCACCCAGUAACCGUGUCUUUGUUGAAGGAUGGCGCAGGCUGAAUUCAGGUGGUGAGAAGAGGCUAAGUGUUGGAUCUUUACUGCCAUUUUUACAUGAUGAUAUCAUUGUGUCUUCUUCUAACGGAGCAGAUCCUUUAUCAAACACAUGAUCCACACGGGGGCCUGCAAGCCAGAGGACGUCUCAAUUAUCAGCUCUGAAAAGGCCGAGUUCAGGACUGAGACAGCUUAGACGAUAUAUACACAACAUAGCACGUCUGCGUUUUAUCGUGUUAGCAGUUGCAGGACUAUUGUAGGUUCACUAGCGAGAUCAA